UGGGCAACCUGCCCCUCUCUCUGGAUAACCCCGGGAAACCGGAGCUAAUACCGGAUACUCCGGCUGGAUCGCAUGGUCCGGCCGGGAAUGGUCCGCCGGAGAGGGAUGGGCCCGCGGCCUAUCAGCUUGUUGGUGAGGUAAUGGCUCACCAAGGCGACGACGGGUAGCCGGCCUGAGAGGGUGACCGGCCACACUGGGACUGAGACACGACCCAGACUCCUACGGGAGGCA
rnacentral:rRNA from 1 species